ACGGCCAUAUGUUGAAAUACCAAUUCCUGUACGAUCACCGAAGUUAAGCAGCCUCGAGCCUGUUCCGUACCGAGAUGGGUAAUCGCUUAGGAAUACCAGGUGA